GAACGGGUGAGUAAUAUAUCGGAACGUGCCCAGUCGUGGGGGAUAACGUAGCGAAAGUUACGCUAAUACCGCAUACGAUCUAAGGAUGAAAGCGGGGGAUCGCAAGACCUCGCGCGAUUGGAGCGGCCGAUAUCAGAUUAGGUUGUUGGUGAGGUAAAAGCUCACCAAGCCGACGAUCUGUAGCUGGUCUGAGAGGACGACCAGCCACACUGGAACUGAGACACGGUCCAGACUCC
rnacentral:rRNA from 1 species